AUUGAACGCUGGCGGCAGGCCUAACACAUGCAAGUCGAACGAGUGGCGGACGGGAGAGUAAUGUAUGGGCAACGGCCUGAUGGAGGGGGAUAACUACUGGAAACGGUUGCUAAUACCGCAUACCAUCAGCUGGGCCCGGAUGGGAUUAGGUAGUUGGUGGGGUAACGGCUCACCAAGAAGACGAUCCCUAGCUGGUCUGAGAGGAUGACCAGCCACACUGGAACUGAGACACGGUCCAGACGCCUACGGGAGGCAGCAGUGGGGAAUAUUGGACAAUGGGCGCAAGCCUGAUGCAGCCAUGCCGCGUGUAUGAAGAAGGCCUUCGGUUUGUAAAGUACUUUCAGCUGGGAGGCGUUACCCGCAGAAGAAGCACCGGCUAACUCCGUGCCAGCCGCCGCGGUAAUAC
rnacentral:rRNA from 1 species